ensembl:lncRNA
GGAGUCUGGCAGGCUACAGUCCGUGGGGUCUCGAAGACUCGGACGUAACUUACUGACUGAGCAAUCAUGCCUAGAGUCAGAAGCUGAGAGAGACCCCAGCGUAGGAGGGGAUACGAGGCGGACAGGGAUACGAGUUCCACGCCUCUGCCGAUGAGCUGUGUGAUCUUAGGCCACUGACUUGGCCUCUCUGAGCCUGUUUCUCCACCUAUAAACGCAGACGUGAAGUGAGUUGAGGCGCAGAGUGCAGCUGGUGGACGUGCAAAGUCAAAAGAUGGCUGACGGGGCGAGACUGCACACGUGAGCCGCUGCUAGCCAGGGCCGCCGGGCAGACUUCAUGCAUGAGUGUAACAUACGUGCAGAGAGUUACUGCCUGCGGCCUCUGCCACGGACACUGAGGAUUUGCAGUGAACAAACAAGGCCUUAAACACUCAUGCUUGGCUGGAAGAAGACAGAAGCAAACGAUCAGAUCAGGAAAUACAGUCGACCCUGAACAACCCAGGCUUGAACUGUGUGGGUCCACUAGCAAGCAGAUACUUUUUCAAGAAGAGCGUCUUGCCAAGACCUGUGAGAAGACAAACACAGACGGAAGCGAGGCACCCACAGGUUCUCGAAUGCCAGGCGCUUGGAGCAAGACAAGGAACAGACUCUCCUUCUGGAAGGAACCCACCCACCGACACUGACUUUAGAAUUCUGGCUUCCAGGGCUGUAGAAAGAAUAAAUUCUUAUUGUUUUCAGCCA